GUAUACAGCCAUACUAUCCUGAAUGUUCCUUGUCUCAUCUGAUCUUGGAAGCUAAACAGGGUCUGGCCUGGUUGGCACUUGGAUAGGAGACAUACAUGGUUUUUUAACCCUAGGCUGGUAGCUUAGAACA
rnacentral:rRNA from 1 species